GAUGAAGAACGUAGCGAAAUGCGAUACGUAGUGUGAAUUGCAGAAUUCAGUGAAUCAUCGAAUCUUUGAACGCACAUUGCGCCCCUUGGUAUUCCAUGGGGCAUGCCUGUUCGAGCGUCAUCUACACCCUCAAGCUCUGCUUGGUGUUGGGCGUCUGUCCCGCCUUUGCGCGUGGACUCGCCCCAAAUUCAUUGGCAGCGGUCCUUGCCUCCUCUCGCGCAGCACAUUUGCGCUUCUCGAGGUGCGCGGGCCGCGUCCACGAAGCAACUAUUACCGUCUUUGACCUCGGAUCAGGUAGGGAUACCCGCUGAACUUAAGCAUAUCAAUAAGCGGAGGA
rnacentral:misc_RNA from 1 species